AUUCCUCUCCCUUUCUAUCCUUCGUUUCGAUCGUACAGUUCGAUUGGUAUACUUUUAUCGUUUGAUUCGAUUGAUCGAAAUGAAAGAUCUUUCUUUUUUUCUUAUCUCGACGAGAGAUGCUCGAUUUUACGCACGAUUUGGUUAUAUAGUUUUUCUAUAGAUUUUAGUGAAGAGCACUUAACCUAUCUUUAACUUAGUUUGGCGUGAAUGAAGUUACGAGAAAUUUAACCUCUUCGAGGGACACUAUAAGCAUCGGAAGACAUCUCUUAUAUAUACCUAAUAGUUUCAAAGUAGUGAUUGUCGAGUAAAAUGGAAUAUUAUCGAGUGUUUCGAGUUUUUAAUUUUUUUUCUUUCUCUUUACUUUUACUUUUUUAAUUUUAAUUUGAUUUGAAGAAACUAAACAUAUGUGCAGUGUGGUUAAAACGGUGGAAUUAGAAGAUACAACUUUUCAUGGACAAUCAAAAGCAAGAUUUAAAAUUUUAUAGGGAUCCAUUGUAAAAUGGAUAAUAUUAAUAAAACGACGGAUGAUGAAUAGUAACUUUGGACACUUCGUUCGGAAAAAUUCUCGCCGUCGUAGAAAUUGAUGGAAAAUUUGAACACGUUCUAUCGUUACGGGAAGAGGAGAGAUUUAUGGUAAAUUUCGAAGGGAACUGUCAUUGUUCGAUCGUCGAGGGUAAAAUUUACACUGCGACAGGAGGCGGUGGUGCCUAACAAGGGACGUCCCGCGGGACGAUCGGCAAAUUGCGCGAAACUCGAGGAAGAAGGCCGGGUAAAAUUGAUUCUUGCCACGUUCCAAUUCCCCGCGGAGCCUCCUGCCCUAGCCACCGCCGCUUUCCGCGUCAAUAAACCCGCGAAAAAACAAUGGAACUGAUUUUUCGAAGCGCUAAAAAUAGUGGCGCAUCGGCCCGCCUCGAUUCCGUGGAAAUUCCAUUCUAAAUCUUCCCAAAGAAAGACUUCGUACUAUCCCCGAACUGUCGAAUCGAGAUACCAAAAGCGGGCGAAAAAUUCUUCGAGUCUCUUCGAAUGUUUUAAAAUUGAUCCAUGAAAUGUUAAGAAGACAUACAAAAGCCUUAAAAUUCGAUCUCGUCUUUCCAAUUUAAAAUGCCUAAACCUAUUUGAAAGAAGAAUGAAACCCAUUUUAUUUCUUUCAAAGACCGUCUUCUAUCUAGAUAUCCAAAAGAUUUAAAAAAUUUAAAUCCUAUUAUCAGAAGAUUGCUGAAAGAUGUUGAAAAUUUCAAUCACUCGCUCAAGAAUUGAAUUCAACUUCUACUACUUCCUACCCUCGAAACCGUUUCUUCGUCUUAAUUCACGAAUCGAAGCGAAACACGUCGUCCAUGUUUGUAAUACUAAACCAUUAUAAAUCCUUCAUUCUUGAGAGCAUUUAUCCCUACACUCUCAUAACCUAGCGCAAAACUCUAUCAACUUCCACCAUUCCUCCAAGGAAUACAUUCCAAUGAGCGAUUCACACUUCCAAAAGCAAUAUUCCCUCGAAAUAUCGAGGUAAGGAGGGAUCGAAGGUCCGCAGUAAGAAGCGAACGUCGCACGCUGCGUGUUGUCGCUGGUCCGCGUGGCUUGUAAGGAAGAAGAAGUAGAAGAGGAAGAAUGGGAAAAGACGAGCGGAGGCGAUCGAUAGCCAAACUCCUCGCUUCUACAAUAGAUAAGGAGACACGUUAUAUGCAUAGACUCUGGCUCGCUUUCGCGAUUCCUGAUACUGGAAACUGCCGCUUGCAACGAAUAGCUGAUAUCUGCACGAGAUAAGACGAAUUGCCUGGAAGCCGGUAGUAAAACGGAAAGAGGACAACCCUUUGACUAGCGGAACUGGUUGUUGUCGGAUGGGAAUCUCCUUUGGCCUUUGAGGUUGCUGGACAAGUUGGAUUCACAGGUGCUUAGAAGUGGAAAGGGAUGAAGAACUGGUUAAGGGUUUUGAAGAUUGUUUUGUUUAUGUGAGAAGCUUUAAAAGUUGGUUCAAUUGCUUAGAAAUGGUUGAUGGCCUUAAAAGUUACAUGAGAAUCUUCUUUGAUUUUCAAAGUUAUUGGAUAAAUUAGAUGGAAAGGAAUGAAGAAAUAAGAUUUUUGUUCAUGUGGUUUAUCCAUUAAUUUCUAUUAGGAAUUAUAUUAGGAAUAUAUUAAUUAUUGGUUAAAAAUUAUAUUUGAAAAUCUUCCUCUUAAGAUUAUUGGUUUAAAAAUUGGAUUCAUAAGAAUUUAAAGAUGGAAAGGAAUGAAGAAACAGUUAAGAAUUUUGGAAAUAGUUUUGUUUAAUGGUUAGAUUGCUUAGUAAAGAUAAUCUUUAAAUGUUUAUAUCUCAAGUAGUUUAGUUAUAAUUAAAUGAUUUUAAAAAUUAUAAGAAUCUUCUAUGAUUUUUGAAGUUAUUAAAUAAGUUGGAUUCAUAUAAUAUCUAAAGAAUGAAAAAAUAAUUAAGGAUUUUGGAAAUGGUUUUGAUUUUGUUGUUUAAUGAUGAGUUUUAAAAAUUUAUCUUUCAAAUGAUAUAGCUAAACAUAUUUAAAUGUUACACAUAAGAAUCUUUUUUAGGUUUUUAGGUUUUGAUUAUUGUACAAAUUAGAAUCAGAGAUAAUUAAGGAGGAUAAAAUAAUAAAGAAAUGAUUAAGACUUUUGUUAAAUAAUUAAAUUGCUUGAUAGUGAAUUUAAAAAAUCCUUCAACUAAUGAAAUCUUGUUUGGUUUUUGAGGUUAUUGGACAAGUUGGAUUCACAGGUGCCUAGAAGUGGAGAGGAAUAAAGAGAUGGUUAAGGAUUUUGGAAGUGGUUUUGUUACAAGAUUAGGUUGCUAGUAGUGAGCUUAAGGAUUUAUCCCUCAACUGGUUAAGACAUAGGUAACUUAAAUACUAUAUUUGAGAAUCUUUUUUGGCUUUUAAGAUUGUUGGAUAAAUUAAAUUCACGAUGAUAGUGAUUAAAAAGUAAAAAAAAAAAUGAUAAAAACGAAAAAAAUUUCUGUAUCGCAGAAAAAUUCAUUUCAUCAUAAUCCACAACAAAGUAUCAAUGAAAAUCCAUAUUUACGAUAAGAAAACCAACGAUUUUACUUUAUCACGAUGAAAUUGCAAUACACUCAUUUAAAGAUAUAUUCCAGUCACGAAAGCCACUUAUAUUCUCAUUCAUGAAUCAUGAAACAUUUGCCAUGUUCAAAUAAAUCAUUUUUCAAGAUAAGAAAGAGAGAUUUCUCUAUAUACAAUACGAAAGAUCAUCUUAUUUUCAUUUAUCUCAAUGUAAUUUUAUUUUAAAUCUAUCGAAUCAUUUACGAAUAAUUCAAGUUUAUAAGUCGAAAAUCAAAGCAUGAGAUACUUUUCAAUUUUAUAACCUAAAUUUCCAUGUUUACAAUAUUAAUUUACGUUCAUUGCGAUAUAAAGAAAAAUACCUUCAUUGUAUUGAUUUUAAACUAAUUAAUUAAUAAUCAAUUGAUAAAAUUAUAUAUAAAUUCAUUACUCUUCUAUAAUUAUUUUAUUCAAUAAAUAAUUACUAAAGAUAAAAAUUUAGAAAUAUUUAUUAUGUAAUAUAUUACAGUCUUAAAUUAUAAUAGAAUUUUUGAACAAUAAAACGAAUAAAUAUUCAAAGAUAAUAAAAUCCUUCAAAUUUAAUGAAUCUCAAAUAUUUUUUACAAACACUUAGUGUUUAUUUUCUGUCAUAAGAAGAAUCCUAUUACAAUCCAAGCCUAAAUAAAUCAAUUUAUUCCUUCGAUCAAAACAAUUUAAUUAUAAAACGAAUACCAUGCAAAUCUGAUCGUUUUCAAUCCUGAACCUUUCGUUUCGAUGAUCAAAAAUUACAAUUCGAACAAAAAUUUUAACAAAUCGCCUCUACCUAUCUCCUUCUCCCCCCUCCCUCCUAAUUUAUCCCCACCAUAGACACUUCUCCCGAGCGAAUAUCGCGAUACUGGAAGGAAACUGAGCGUUCGUCACGUGGGUUUCCUUCCUAGCUGUUCCUAUCGAGGAGUCGCGGGGGUUGAUGCACGCGGCCGACGUAUCGGAACGCGCCACCAACCAGAGCAAAUAUCAGCGGCCCCGGGCGCUAAUGACUGUUCUAAGUUUGCUGGAGACGAGCACGCGGACAACGAACCUUCUCCUGGCUAUAUCCACGCGACAUUUCACCGCCUAAGUGGGCUACGAGAUUCCGAUUGUCGCCUCGAAAGGGUUCUCGAAACUUCUCUCGUCUCGGCUCGAACUCGCUUCUCCAACGCUUUGACAAUUAGGGGAAAUUAGGGGAAAAAGUAGUCGAUACGUGCGCACGAUUUCGAUAAUGCAAAAUUUUGUUUAUCUCUUCAAAUUUCAUCCAUUAAUAUAUUCGACAGGCAGAUACUUUCGAAUCUAUAAUAGAUUAAACUUUCGAUCGUGAGAUUUAAAAAAUUAUUCAAUCGUAUGACAUUUCUCUCUUCACUUUAAAUAAGUCUAAUAGUUUAAAAAAAAAGAAAAAACGAUUCCAACAUCACUCGACAUCACUUGGAAAGUGAAAAAACGCUAAUAAAUAUCGAUCUCAAGUUACUCUCAUCCCUUUCCUCUACACCAUCAAACCUUUUCAAACUGUUAUCCUUACUUUCAAUCAUCACAAAAUAUCCAAAUUCCCGUGGAAGAAUACGAGGAAAGGAGGAGUGUGAUCUCUCGCUAUCAUCCCCUUCCCCUAUCACUCUCUCUUCUCUCGUUCUUUUGGCCAAAAAGAAAACCAAAGAGAUCAGGAUCGAAACGUACAUGAACAUAAUCGGUGGUCGAUGAGUGGCGCGGCGCGUCGUGUGAAGCGUAUAAAAGCAAUCUGCGAAUCUAAAUAUAAAAAAAAUCGGCGUGGACAGUUUUGAACGUGUGACGCAGCGUGCGGGCCGCCGUUACGUAACGAACCGUUGAUUAUCGGCUAUAUAUAAAUAGGCGUUUCCUUACAUAAUUAACCAUCGUUCCCGCGCCACGCAAAACGAAAGCCCGCAUUGCUGAAAAUCAGCUGACGCGUGUCAACUCGCAGAGAGAGAGAGAGAGAGAGAGAUACGGGAGAAGAUACGAGGAAAGGCGUGCGCGCUGUCUGUGCACGUAGGGACGAAGUUAUUAAGUCACGCGUCGCGGCUCCUUUCUACUUUCUUCUCUUUCGCAAAAUCUCUACCCGCGAGGAUCGAAGUAUUGUAAAGUCUUUCACAUACUGCGUUUCGCUUUUUUUUCAUCUUUUGAAUGGUCGCGUUUGAAAGUGUUUGAAGGUGUUUGAAGGCGUUUGAAGAUGUUUGAGGGUGUUUGAGGAUGCGGCUACCUUCUUAUCUUUCUUUUAGAUUGCGAGUUUUGAGUUGAUAUUUUCUAAGAUUCGUCUUCUCAUUUUUCCUUUUCGGAUCGGUUUGAGAGAUUUGGGAAUGUUUGAGAAUGUUUGCGUUUUGAUGAUAUUUUGAACGGUUUCUCUUGUUUUGCGAAUCCUGCUUCUGAGAACGAAUAUUUUUCUUUGUCGAGUUGAAGUUUUUCAGAACAACUGAGAAUCGUCUUUUUGAGAAAUUAUUUAUAUACGUCGUGGUAUUUUUGUUUUAUUUUUCGUGAGAGAGAGAGAGAGAGAGAGAGAAAGGGAAGAAGGAAGAAAAAGAAAAGAAAGAAAAUGUUUUUGGAAGAAAUGAGAUUCUCGAUCUCCUCAGGAAUAAUCGGAGGAAACGAUUACAUAAUUUUCGGGCUCUAGCUCUCACAGAUUCUAGGACAGAUUCGCCACACGUUUUCCCGUGUUUGAUGAAAGAAGAAAUAUCCGUUCUAUUUGAUGAAACGUAAAUCCACGAUGCACAAUUCGACGGAUGAAUCACAGACUCGACGAGUUUCCGCGAAAAGAGCCGGGAUCGCGAACUUUCCAAACAAAACACUCGUGUUUACGUCUCUUUGGGAGCGAUCGGAAAAACGUAGAUGGACGCACGCGAGUCCGCACGUGUUCUCUCAUCUUUUCAAUUCUCCCUCCCGAUUCUCUCUUCUUCGUCAAAUCGAAACGAGAAAAAGAUUGUAAGAUUAUCGUCGAUUAUCAUUUUCUAGAAAGAAGAAUGUAUUCGAAACGUCACAUGAAUUUUCCAUAGAAAAAAAGAAGAAAAAGAAGAAGAAGAAGAAGAAGAAGAAAAGAUAAACGACGACUCCAAAAGCACAACCUCAUUUUUCAACUCCCAAAACAACUUCGAACCACUACCGAAAACUCCAUCCAUCCACUGCCAAGCAAACACCACUCCAACAAAAAACCACCCACGAAUCCCCAAACGAUCGCACCAAAGAACCCUUUAGAAGUCUUUACAAGCGUAAAAGCAUGGCGCGUAGAACUUUAAGGACCAAAAAAGCAUCAGCUUUGCACAGCGCGGGUCUCAAGCAGCGGCUCUAAGUCGAAUCGUGAACCAGCCCUUCUCCCUUCCUAGCCAAAAAACCAAGAAAAAGCGGAUUCAACUCGAAACUCGAAAUCUUUACAAUUUCGAAGCACUGUUUAUUGUUAAUUAACUCCUUAACUUAGUAACUCCAAUCUUUGCAAAAAAAAACAAAACAAAACAAAAAACAAA